GUUUAAGUAGUUUAUUUAGAAUUGUAAUUUGUGGUGUUACAGGUGUAUUAUUGUACUUUAGGCC
rnacentral:tRNA from 1 species